rnacentral:rRNA from 1 species
UUCGUAGGGUGCAAGCGUUGUCCGGAAUUAUUGGGCGUAAAGAGCUCGUAGGCGGUUUGUCGCGUCGGCUGUGAAAACCUGGGGCUUAACUCCGGGCCUGCAGCCGAUACGGGCAGACUAGAGUUCGGCAGGGGAGACUGGAAUUCCUGGUGUAGCGGUGAAAUGCGCAGAUAUCAGGAGGAACACCGGUGGCGAAGGCGGGUCUCUGGGCCGAUACUGACGCUGAGGAGCGAAAGCGUGGGGAGCAAACAGG